UGGGGAAUCUUGGACAAUGGGGGCAACCCUGAUCCAGCCAUGCCGCGUGAGUGAUGAAGGCCUUAGGGUCGUAAAGCUCUUUCGCCUGUGAAGAUAAUGACGGUAGCAGGUAAAGAAACCCCGGCUAACUCCGUGCCAGCAGCCGCGGUAAUACGGAGGGGGUUAGCGUUGUUCGGAAUUACUGGGCGUAAAGCGCACGUAGGCGGACCAGAAAGUUGGGGGUGAAAUCCCGGGGGCUCAACCCCGGAACUGCCUCCAAAACUAUUGGUCUAGAGUUCGAGAGAGGUGAGUGGAAUUCCAAGUGUAGAGGUGAAAUUCGUAGAUAUUUGGAGGAACACCAGUGGCGAAGGCGGCUCACUGGCUCGAUACUGACGCUGAGGUGCGAAAGUGUGGGGAGCAAACAGGAUUAGAUACCCUGGUAGUCCACACCGUAAAACGAUGAGUGCUAGUCGUCGGCAGGCAUGCCUGUCGGUGACGCAGCUAACGCAUUAAGCACUCCGCCUGGGGAGUACGGCCGCAGGUUAAAAC
rnacentral:rRNA from 1 species